rnacentral:lncRNA from 14 species
GUCAGGGAGGAAGAUGCUGCUGGGAGGGAUGGCUCUUAAAUCCUGCUGCUGAUGUCAAGUGCUGGAACUCAGUCAGUCUAUGAAACAUCAAUGUGCCAUCAUUCUCUACUAGACCAGCGGCAGCUGUAGCAGGGAGCUGGGUGUGCAGACUCAGUGGUACUGGACCACACUGCAGCAUCCUCAGGUGGAUGCUGAGGAUGAAGAUGCUGCAUCAUGUAAUGGAGCAAGAGAACCAGGCAGCCUCCUGCUUCUUGCAUAAGCUGCAAAGGUGGGACAGCUGUGCCAUUACUGCAGACUGCAGGAGGAUACAAACAGGACCCAAGCCCCACUGAAGGAGCGUGUGGUUUGAAAACCCAAGCUCCUGUAGCUGCCUCUGCUAAAUAUUAUGGUUGUGUUUAUUCUGAGCCAAUAUUCUUGUAUUUAUAGCUGAGCCAUGUAACAGAAUUAGAG